rnacentral:rRNA from 1 species
UACGGAGGGUGCAAGCGUUGUCCGGAAUUAUUGGGCGUAAAGAGCUCGUAGGCGGUUUGUCGCGUCUGCUGUGAAAACUCGGGGCUUAACCCCGGGCCUGCAGUGGGUACGGGCAGACUAGAGUGCGGUAGGGGAGACUGGAAUUCCUGGUGUAGCGGUGAAAUGCGCAGAUAUCAGGAGGAACACCGGUGGCGAAGGCGGGUCUCUGGGCAGUAACUGACGCUGAGGAGCGAAAGCGUGGGGAGCGAACAGG